AUACGGAGGGUGCGAGCGUUAAUCGGAAUUACUGGACGUAAAGCGUACGUAGGCGGUUUGCUAAGUCAGAUGUGAAAGCCCCGGGCUUAACCUGGGAACUGCAUUUGAUACUGGCAGACUAGAGUAUGAUAGAGGGGGGUAGAAUUCCUGGUGUAGCGGUGAAAUGCGUAGAUAUCAGGAGGAAUACCAGUGGCGAAGGCGGCCCCCUGGAUCAAUACUGACGCUGAGGUACGAAAGCGUGGGGAGCGAACAGGAUUAGAAACCCCUGUAGUCC
rnacentral:rRNA from 1 species